rnacentral:lncRNA from 1 species
AUGUGCUUCACGGCCAAAGCGUACCGUCUCAGCGAGGCCAGCUUGUACAUCCUGAACAUGGUCAACGUGCUCGCCAUUCGCAUCGAUGAUGGUGAUGUCCCCUUCCCGAUCGCCGUCUACGGCCCCGUCAUCGCCAGAGAUGAUCUCGAUCACAAUAUGGCGGAUAUUGACGGGCCCUCAUCGGGGUAUGACGGCUUAUAUUUUGAGAUCAAUCUCAAGCUCAAGGGUGUUCGGGUUGGCAGCGCGGAGGAGGACAAACAGAUUAGUAAAACAGUAUGGCGGAUGAAUGGCGUAUUCCUUGAAACAAUCUUUCUAUCACAAAACCUGUUGACUGCGGUUCGACCUAUCACCAUUGAUCCUUGCAGGAAUCUCUAUCCCCUGCAGCUCAUGUAUGCGUUCGUCAGUAACGCUGUGGAGGCCACUGUUUCUGUCAAGGUUCUUCAGGGGCAUUUCUAUGGGAAGAUAACAGCUUUGCCCCAGCACAGUCAAAGACUGCAUUUUGCUUCAUGAUAGCGGAUUA